GUGACCACCCCAAGCUCCAGCUGCAGAGCGGCGGCUUCCACCCCCUCUGGAGAAGGGCUGCAGAUUGAUUGAUUUAGGCUUUGAGAAAUGUGCUGAGUUCUUGGGUUGGUUGACUACCGACUGCCAAGAAACCAGCACACCUAGAGGCGGGGCGCUAAGGUUUUGGUUCCCUUGAAUCGACCCUACCAGCAGCCUGUGGAAGCAGGUCUUAGGGAUGGCUAGUGAUGGCUGAGACAAAGAGGAAAAGCUGCUCAUUGCGGCUACACAGAGAAUCCGGCGUUCUUGUGAAAUGAGCAAAAGAUGAAGUGCCGAAACAAAGGAUGCGCCUCCAUAGCCCUGGGGACACCUGGGGAGCCAGCCCUUCUGCAUCAAAAGACGGCGUUAGGUCCUCCUCUGUGCAAUGGGGAGCCUCCGGAGCAGGAAAUGGCAAACGAAGUCACAGAGGGGGCUCGCCGCCUUGCAGGUGCUGGCUGCUCACGGGGGACCCGCCUCCCCUCAGUCCCGGAAAGCCAAUGAGGAUUCCCAAAUGUCUCUGAGAACGCUUGGCUGGCCCGGCUUUGGUCAGACGGAGCUCUGCAGCGGUGAGGGGAACCUCGCUCUCGCGGGACAGAAGGAGCUGGGCGUUCCGUGGGCAGCGAGUUCAAAUCGAGUUCGGACACUGCCCAAGCUGUGGAAGCUAGGCAAGGCCAAACCCUGUCUGCCUCAGUUUCUUCAGCUGUUCAAGCCCUUUCCUCUCAGGGUCGCGAGGCUCGAAUAA
rnacentral:lncRNA from 1 species